CCAAGAGAACUGUCUUUUGCAUUCAGAAUGGCACCGUGAUCCAAAAUGUGUGAGGGCUGAGCAAUGAGGUGCAAUUAGUAUCCAUGCAGAACUCGAAGAGCAGGAUGAAUUUGAACUGGAACACCAAGAGGAAGAGAAGGAAGAUUGACUUUUUUGUCUCCAUGCUGCUGCCCUGAUUAAAAUUCUUCCAAAAGCAAAGAAGGUACUGUAAGACCACUGUGUCUGUAGAAAUAUAUUCCCAGCUGGACUAUAGUCUUAGGCACCACCUUAUCACACUUGAGGCUUUUGACCCCUUGCUACACUUUUGGAACACGGUUUGCUGAGCACCAUCAUAUGACACUAGCUUGGUUCCACCCCAUUAAUCCCCGAAGUGGUGAGAAACAUCACAAUACACUUUCUCGCCAAUGACACAAGGUAAGUAGUGUUUCUCCCCCUUUUCCCCAUUUGAUAGGGGAAAGGGCAAUAU
rnacentral:lncRNA from 11 species